UGUUUUGCCCUCAAUAGCGGCGAGUGAAGCGGCAAAAGCUCAAAUUUGAAAUCUGGCGUCUUUGGCGUCCGAGUUGUAAUUUGAAGAAGGUAUCUUUGGGCCCGGCUCUUGUCUAUGUUCCUUGGAACAGGACGUCACAGAGGGUGAGAAUCCCGUGCGAUGAGAUGACCCGGGUCUGUGUAAAGUUCCUUCGACGAGUCGAGUUGUUUGGGAAUGCAGCUCUAAGUGGGUGGUAAAUUCCAUCUAAAGCUAAAUAUUGGCGAGAGACCGAUAGCGAACAAGUACAGUGAUGGAAAGAUGAAAAGAACUUUGAAAAGAGAGUGAAAAAGUACGUGAAAUUGUUGAAAGGGAAGGGCUUGAGAUCAGACUUGGUAUUUUGCAUGUUGCUCUCUCGGGGGCGGCCGCUGCGGUUUACCGGGCCAGCAUCGGUUUGGAGCGGCAGGAUAAUGGCGGAGGAAUGUGGCACGGCUUCUGCUGUGUGUUAUAGCCUCUGACGAUACUGCCAGCCUAGACCGAGGACUGCGGUUUUUACCUAGGAUGUUGGCAUAAUGAUCUUAAGUCGCCCGUCUGAAAACUGGGAAACCA
rnacentral:rRNA from 1 species